rnacentral:rRNA from 1 species
GACGAACGCUGGCGGCGUGCUUAACACAUGCAAGUCGUACGGUAAGGCCCUUUCGGGGGUACACGAGUGGCGAACGGGUGAGUAACACGUGAGUAACCUGCCCACAACUUUGGGAUAACGCUAGGAAACUGGUGCUAAUACUGGAUAUGUGCUCCUGCUGCAUGGUGGGGGUUGGAAAGCUCCGGCGGUUGUGGAUGGACUCGCGGCCUAUCAGCUUGUUGGUGGGGUAGUGGCCUACCAAGGCGGCGACGGGUAGCCGGCCUGAGAGGGUGACCGGCCACAUUGGGACUGAGAUACGGCCCAGACUCCUACGGGAGGCAGCAGUGGGGAAUAUUGCACAAUGGGCGCAAGCCUGAUGCAGCAACUCCGCGUGCGGGAUGACGGCCUUCGGGUUGUAAACCGCUUUCAGCAGGGACGAAGCUUUUUGUGACGGUACCUGCAGAAGAAGCACCGGCUAACUACGUG